GGUGUAGCUCAGUGGUGGUAGAACAAUUGCCUUGCAUGCAGAAGGUCUUAGGUUCAAUUCUUGAGUUACAGGGAACCA